rnacentral:misc_RNA from 1 species
GCAAUGUCGAUUUCUUGUGCUUCUAUCUUCACUCCUUUCUCUCACCCGCGCUUCUUUCCUUCGCGCUUCCACCGUUGCGCUUUCUUCAGCGUUGCUUCCCUCCAAAAGCCUAUCAAUCUAUGGGAAACCACUAACUCUGCCAUGGCUGCAAAUAUCAUUCCUCCUAUGGCGGGGAACCUGUCUUCUUUGAAUAGAGAGGCCAUGGUGCCACCUUACAAUGUCCUAAUCACUGGCUCAACAAAGGCUUGACAGUGUAAGAGUGGCUGUGGAGAAGCUGCAUAGAGAGUUGCAGAGGGAAUGUGCUUCUGAGAACUAGUUGGAGAACUAUUUCUUAUUAGCAUUGGAAUUGUAUAGGGACAAUUGAGGGAAAAUCAAAAUAGGUGCAAGCUCAUUUGCCGCUAUGAAGAAGUGACUUGUUAUAAAAGGGAAGAGGAAGACUGAAAAGGACAAAGAGUAAAAAGUAAGAAGGACCUCAUUGUAACUUAACUGAAAAUAUUGUGCUGGAUCAAACUUAUUAUGACUGGUAAAGAAUGUUGAGAAGUUCCAUCUUUCACGAUCUUUAAUACUUUAGUUUCUAACUCAUUGGGUCUUUAUGUCUAUCUUUAGAUGAAGGUCAGAAAUAGGAAAUUCCGUAUGCACUAAUUAAAAAUGUUUAAUGUCUUCAAUCUCUCUUUUUCUUCAACUGGAUGGUCACUUAUGUCAAAUAUGAUUUAUUCGUUGCUCAUUAUUCAGGAAUAGGGUAUGCACUAGCUAAAGAGUUUCUAAAGGCAGGUGACAAUGUCUUGGUUUGCUCAAGAUCAGGUAAGAUCUUACUUUCUGUACCUUUAUUGAAGUUGUGUACCAAAAGCUUUGAGGUCAAAGUCAGUGCAAAGUACUCGCUAUUAACUUAAUUUGCUUAUCUGAAUUAACUCCAACAUCAGGGUGUUCAAGCUCUUUGGUUUUGAAUAUGUUCAAUUAAUAGUUUAUUGUAAUUUUAAAUGGUGAUAAGUGCAAGAAUAGUCACUUGGCAUGCAUUUUAUGAAUAGUGAGGUCUACACUUUCUGCUGAAUGUGCUUUGUAAAUUUUCAACUUUUUAUAGUGCAUGUAUGAGCGUGUCUAGCCUGCAUGUGUGUUCUACUCAAGGAAAAGGUUAACACACAUUUCAUGUCCACCUAUGCUAAUUUCUUUUUACAAUCUCAAUAGAUAGUCAUUUGUAUUUGUAUUUCAUAUUUUAUGAUGAUCAUGACCGUGAGGUUUUAUGCCUUUUGACUUCAUGUUAGGGACCAAAAAUUAUGCCUAUUGUUGACCUCUAGUAAUCUGAUUUUGGGAUACCUAUGGGCUAAUUUCAUAAGCCAAUAAAUUCAAACUUAUUGAGUUUAAUUUCAAUUCUUUGGCUAAUGGGCAUAGAAUUUUGACUCUGUGUUCACAUACACUGGAUGUAUAAUUGUGUUGACAAGCAGGUUUUAAAUAAUGGUUGAUACAUAAUGUAUCGGCUCUUACAUAUCAGGAUUUUUACCUUGCAAUGUGAUAAUCUCCAUUACAAUCAUGUGAAUGAAAUGGUGCCAAAUCAGCCAAAAUGAAGUUAAUGGCCUGUUUAUCAUUUUGACAUAACGGCCAGGCAGAUGCGGAAGAGGACAAGGGGAUGAAGAAGAAAAAGAGAGAGGAGGAAGGGGAGAGAGAGAGAGAGGAGGGUGGCAUGGAGCGUGUACUUGGAUAGCAAGUGAGAGUAGCACCAUUGAAUUUUGUAUUGCUUUUAAGAGGAGAAAAUAGAAUGUUAUGUUGCUUCUUCAUCUGGUUUUUGGGACCAAAUUUAUAAAUAAAUUUUUUCAUCUCUUUAGAGCCUAAGCAUAGUUGGCUUUCUUUUUGGAUUGUUAUUUUUAUCCUUGAAAUAUAAAUAAAGUUAAUAGUUUUU